GCAAGACCAGAGUCCUGAACCUCAGCAACGACUGCGCUCAGCUGGCUCCCCGGGCCCCUUUCCCCUCAGGAAGUUUUGCAUUUUGGGAAUAAAACUGAGAGGUGCCAACACUUGUGAGACACAAGGGGGAAGUGACUACAAAACAGAGAAGCCUAAAACCAAAGAAGGAAACUUCUUAGAGAAUCCAGAGGAAGGGAAUAAAGAAGCAGAGAGCAAAUAGGGUGAAAUGCAGCAGGAAAGUCUACAAAAACAAGGACCAAGAGACAGAUUUGGCCUAUGAUGGCUUCAUUCAUAAAGACGCUUCCUUCCUGUGGUCACCAGAUGGCUGUACCGCUCCUCACAUCUACCCCACUUCAAGUUCAGGGAAGAACAAAAGUCUCUUCGGGAGAGGCCCCAGCAAUUGCAUCAUAUGGGC